UCUUGCGUUGGAUGAAAACGCUUUGCAGUAUUAGUUCCGGUUCAUUAUUCCCUUAGUUCAAAUUCUAACGAAGUCACCUUCGUCUUUCAUCGUUUCGUAGUAGAUAUUAGGUCAUUAAGAAUGAAAUGUCCGAUUUUGAACUGAAAGUUUUUUUUUACUUUAUCUCAAUCGAAGUAGGCACCUAAAUUAUCAACACAAUUUUGCCAUUUGAUCGGUGGCUUAUUUAGACUGGCAGCGAAGAAUUCUGGAGAGCAAGAAUUGAUUAAAUUACGAAAGGUUGUUUUUGCCACUUCUUCAGAUAUGAAGUUUUUUUUCCUUGCAUAAAGUUAUCUAAUGCCUGGAAAACAUGAUAGUCAAUUGGUGCAAGGUCUGCUUAAUAUGGUGGAUGACAGACUACUUCCAAAUUGAGUACCGUUCUUUGUGCUACGUGUGGUGGAGCAUUGUCUUACAAGAGGAUUGGCCUGUCUCUAUAGACCAAUUUGGAUUGUUUGAUUGCAAAUUCACUCAUCAUUUCAUCCAGUUGGUUGUUGUAUACAUCCGCUGUAAUUGACUCACCAGUUCUCAUGAAGUUGUAGUGAAUGAUACCAGCGCUGGACCACCAAACAGACACCAUUAGCUUUUUGGGAUUCCACUAAUAUUGCUGUUAUUGUUACUGCUGUUGUUCUUGAUGAAUGAUGACCAUGAUCAUGAUGAGAAGGAUGAGUAAGGGGAGGAGAAUGAGGCAUUUGAUUACGGCCAUCCUGGAAUACCGCCUUUAGUCGAGCAAAUCGACCCCGAGACUUAUUUAUUGUGAGCCUAGUACUUAUUAUAUCGGUCUCUUUUACCGAACCGCUAUAUUACGGGAACAUAAACACACCAACAUCGGUUGUCAAGCGAUGAUGGCGCGGACAAAUGCAAACACACAAACGCAUAUAUCUAUAAAUACGACGGGCUUCUUUCUGUUUCCAUCUACCGAAUCCACUUACAAGGUUUUGGUCGGCUCGAGGCUAUAGAAGAUAAUGCUCAUGGUGCCACACUGUGGGACUGAACCCGGAACCAUAUGGUUGAGAAGCAAGCUUCUUACCACACCUGCGCCUCACUAUAAAAAUUUUCGCCGCACCAACUGCACCAUCUCCCGUCGCUCCUACCUCGCCAUUUACAUGUUUCUACUCUCGUUAGGGCAAUGAAAAUAACAAAUUCUUAAGUGAAGUUAACAGUCUCUAUAGUUAUCUUUCACGCCAUAAAAUCUGAAAUGUUGGAUUUUGCAAAAAUGUUAGUGAAACACUAUUAUCAGCCAAGAAUAAAAAUAUCUAAGCUACCACGACUUAUCAGGGCCUGUCUUUAUUUGAGUAUAUUCUUUAAAUAAUCUAAUUAAUUUCGUAUGAAUUUUAACCAAACACGCUCUACAAUUUACAAUUGACUGUCACCGUUUUAAAACCCUUCCUCAUCUAGAAAUAGCGGCAUUUAUGAAGAUGUGCAAAAGAAAAACAAAUCACACAGCUAAAUGAUAUACUUACCAAUUCUGUUUUUAUCCA